rnacentral:rRNA from 1 species
GGGGAAUCUUGCGCAAUGGGCGAAAGCCUGACGCAGCGACGCCGCGUGAGCGAUGAAGGCCUUCGGGUUGUAAAGCUCUGUGGGGAGGGAAGAAUAAGGGUUGGCUAAUAUCCAGCUCGAUGACGGUACCUCCUUAGCAAGCACCGGCUAACUCUGUGCCAGCAGCCGCGGUAAUACAGAGGGUGCAAACGUUGUUCGGAAUUACUGGGCGUAAAGCGCGUGCAGGCGGCCUUGCAAGUCGGACGUGAAAUCCCACGGCUCAACCGUGGAAGUGCAUUCGAAACUGCGAGGCUGGAGUCCUGGAGAGGAAAGUGGAAUACUCGGUGUAGAGGUGAAAUUCGUAGAUAUCGAGUGGAACACCGGUGGCGAAGGCGGCUUUCUGGACAGGUACUGACGCUGAGACGCGAAAGCGUGGGGAGCAAAC